AUAAAAGACUUUAUGUGGAAUUAUUGAACAGAAUAUCAGAACUGCCUUGGGAAUCCAAAGCAAAGUAUUUACCGCUUACUGCAAUUCUGCCAUAUGCAGGAACAGACAAGGUUUUGGAACUGUAUCCAGCUCUUCCUUCUCACAUCCUAAAGUGCCUCUCCACCAAUCAUCUUUCCCCAUACGCCUCAGAAGUCUACAAAUCCCUGCUUCAGGAACAGAAACACGAGCUUAUUAAAAAUGCAUCCCAAGAAGCUCCACCCACUGAACAAGACUCGGCCAAUCAAUGGGCUCGACGGUGGCAACCAGUCGUUCUGGAGGCUUUGACUUCAGAAUUAACUCUUAUUCAAUAUAACGCCUCCAGCCAUCUUCUGCCCUCAACACUACGAAUAUUUCCAGGUGCUGUUAACACUCUGUUGUCAGCUCUGGACCCCUGCGGUUUCCCGACACCUUCACGCAUGGGCCUGUGUCAUGAGAGCCCAGCGGGCCACAAGUGGACGUUCCCCUUGGAGCGUGGACAGCCCCCAUGCUCUUAAGACUCUCCAUAUUGCCCUCUCCUCUUUGGAUGACAGCAUCCGGCUUGCAGCUCUGAACCUCAUCUGCUGCAGUCCAAAGACCAAAGAAGCCCCAUCACAAGUGGAGUAUUGCGCUCUGAGAGACUUCCUCCCGCCUCAAUCUCAACAGCGACUCGUCACCUUUCCGCCAGCACCUUCAGGCAGCGCUGAGAAAGUUCUUGGUGAGAAUAAGAGACAGUUGCAUGGCAAGCAUCAAAGGCCAUAAUGGUAAAAAAGGGCUCACGGAGAAAGAGGAGGCGGAGCUUAAACAAGGAGUCGAGUUUGUUGACUGGCUCUUCCAGCUGUCAUUGGUCUAUUUGACUCCUGACAGCAGUUACCAGAGGAAGAAGACUGUUCUGCUCCUGCUGUCUGCAGUGCUGGAAACAUGUACAGACACCUGGAGUCCUGACAGAAAGAAGGGACAACCGCCUGCCAAUAUGUCUACUCUUAUAAACUGGGCUAAAGAGAGAGGAAAGUGGGAUUUCUU